UUUGAAAAUAAAACUUAAUUUGAUUAAUAUCCCCUACAAAUGAAAAACCAUCUUUUACAAAUUGCAUAACAGAAAACAAAUUCCUUCUCAUGGAAGGAACAUAAAGUACAUUACUUAAAGUUAAAACAUAGCCAAUUGACAAUCUCAGUUUUACAAAACCAACAGAUUCAACUGCAACUUUAUUCCCAUUUCCAACAUAAACAUUGUAGACCUCCUUACUUGUUCUCUUUUGGUUUUGAAAUCCCUGCAAAGAAUUUGUUAUAUGUAUAGAACAACUUAUGUCAAACCACCAAGAAUUCUAAUAAAUACAAAUCAUAUUUGACUCUACUAUCACAAAAACAUUUAUUGUUGUUUUACCUUUCUUGAUCAACCAAGCUUUAAAGCUAGGACAAUCCUUCCUUAGGUGAUCCUCAGAAUGAUAGAAAUGACAUUUUUUAACACUACUGUAAUUUGAACUUAAGUCUACUUCAGUUGUUGCUAUUGCUGCUUGUUGGUGAUUAUCUCAUAUGUCAUCAUAUAUGUACGCUAAUGCUUUUGUGCCUACUUAUGCCCUGGUUAAUCCUGUUAUUCCAAUUAAUAUUGUUCCUAUAUGAAUUUUACUAAAAAGUGAUUUUCUCAAGUGGAUAACUGCUUCUUUAUUGAGUAUAUUAAGUGUAACUUCUUUAUCAAUAUAGCUAACUUCAUGUUGACUAAUGCUACUUACAAUUCUACUUCUAUUUUCAAAUAAACCUAAUUGAUACAAAUUAUAUUUAUUUCUCUGUGUUCUCUUAAAUCAUCUUCUAAUAAAUUAUUGUGCUUCUUCUUCAUUUGAAUAAAUAUCUUCAACUCUAACUACUUUUUUUCCUUUUCUCCUAAAUAGUUCCAUUUUCUAUUGUCAAAAUGAUUUAUCUUCUUCAAGUUAAAUUUUCUAACUUUUCUAACAAAGAUGGUGGAAGUGAUGAAGAUGUGUUAUGUUAAACUUGAUUUAUUUAUGUUAUUUGUUCUUCAACUUGGUCUACUUUUUCGGCUAAACUUAAAACUAAUUGGAUAGUUAAAUUAUUUUGUCUAAUAGGGAUAAUACUACUAGCUACUGGUGUUGAAAAAUCUGUUAAACAUACUGGUUCUUUAUCUAACUUACUAAUUUCUUUCAAAACUUGGAUCUAUUUUCUAUUAGUUCUAGAAUCGGUCAUUAAACUAAUAAUCUAUUUAUUUUAUAAUCUAACUUAUCUACUUGUUCACUCAACUCUUUUUGCACUAAUUGAAUUUUUUGAACUUCUAAUUUUAAUCGCUUAGCUAUUUCUAGUGAUCUAAGUUCUACUUGCUUAGGUUUACUAUCUAUAAGGUCAAUAACUUCUUUUCUCUCUUUUGCUCGGAAACAUUUGAAUAUUUUUAUUAUUAUCUUCUAACUGAGAUGUAAUAUAAUCUAAAUUUUGUCUAAUUGUUUUUAUGGAUUUUUUCUGAAAAUGUUCUAUCAACUGGUUUAAUAAAUAAUUAUGCUUAUUAUUUUUUAAUUUUAUAUUUUCUACUUGACUAAUAAUAAGAUUUACAAUACUAUUGGCUUGUGAAUUUUCUUCACUAUGCAAAAUAUGAUUAUGCUUUCUUAAUGGAAAAUAACAAACUAAACUAUUUUGGUCUAAAGUUAUUUUUCUUUUUUGUGGUUCGCUAAUUUCUAAAUUUAGGUAAUUUAUCAUAAGCUACAGUCUACAUUUAUCUAAAGUUAUGGCUAACUGGUUUCUUAGAAACUCUUCUUCUCAUGGUAUCUAAAGUUUGAUCUGUUGUUUUUAUGCUUCUAUAACUCUAUGAUGCACUUCUGUGGUAUUAUAUUUACUAAUAAAUGAAGAGUGUUCAAGAUAACCAAGAUAAAACUUCUGCUUCUUCAAAGUUUUGCUAUUUCUUUUGGAUAUAUAUGUUAAUCUUCUCUUUAUGCUAGUUAUAUUUGGAUGACUAGGACAAUAAAUACCUAGUGGUUGUGGUUGACAAGGUCUACAAGGACGAUAAUAUCUAUUAUUCAUACAAAAUUAAACAAGUGUGUGAUAUUAGUUGUGUUAACGAUUUCAGUCCUCAAGGUACUUUACUAUUAUAAUUGUACUAUUAAAAUGCUAAACUUGGUUUUGAUACCAAAUUCGCAAAGCAAAGGCCCGGUCACAUAGUCGGAUGUCCAUUAUAACAACUAGACAUAAAACCUUGCACAUGGAACUUGACACGUCUCAGCAUGACGACCGCUCACAAUGUAGGUAUAAGACCUUAAAGGUUGAACUCAGAGAUAUGAAGAACUCAAAGGUAAGGUCCAGUUAUUUGUAUAGCAAACAUUCAAUUAUAACAGAAUGCUCGAACAAAGUAUGAUUGUCAAUUUAGCAGGUUAAUAAUAUAACUACAAUAGUGUUUCCCUGUUUUGGACUAGAAGUCUAAUUAAACAAACACACUCAAGAAAGAAAACUUACUUAAGACUUGGAGAUUGCUUGAAUCUGUACACUUGAACUUUUAUUGAUAUAUAAAAUGUUUACAAAAAUAAGUGUUUACAAGGAAUGCUAGGAAUGCUUUGGGUGCUCUAUGCUUGAGGUGUAUUGGAGUAGUGUGUAUUGAGGUGUUGUGUCCUUAAUAUGAAUGAAACUCCUCCUUAUAUACACUGAAUGAGGAUACUAUUGUGUCCUUGGGUACUUGUCAUUUGUCCAUUUGCUUCUACUGUUGUUGAAAUUGUCGGCACUGUUUCUAAACGUGGACUAAAUUAUUUAUACUUUGUCUUCUUUUGCUUUUGUUUUGAACAGCAUGUGAACUUGUUGAAUGAAU
rnacentral:lncRNA from 1 species